rnacentral:rRNA from 1 species
UACGAAGGGUGCUAGCGUUGUUCGGAAUUAUUGGGCGUAAAGCGUAUGUAGGCGGCUUAGUAAGUUGGUUGUGAAAUCCCCGGGCUCAACCCGGGAAUUGCAACCAAAACUGCUUUGCUUGAGUGUGGUAGGGGAUAGUGGAAUUCCGCGUGUAGCAGUGAAAUGCGUAGAGAUGCGGAGGAACACCGAUGGCGAAGGCAGCCCCCUGGGAUGACACUGACACUCAUGCACGAAAGCGUGGGGAGCAAACAGG